CUGAGUACGGCGGAACACGUGAAAUUCCGUCGGAAUCCGGGAGGACCAUCUCCCAAGGCUAAAUACUCCCUAGUGACCGAUAGUGAACCAGUACCGUGAGGGAAAGGUGAAAAGCACCCCGGAAGGGGAGUGAAACAGUUCCUGAAACCGUGUGCCUACAAGUAGUUAGAGCCCGUUAAUGGGUGAUAGCGUGCCUUUUGUAGAAUGAACCGGCGAGUUACGAUUUGUUGCAAGGUUAAGCGGAAAAAGCGGAGCCGUAGCGAAAGCGAGUCUGAAUAGGGCGCAUAAGUAACAGGUCGUAGACCCGAAACCAGGUGAUCUACCCAUGUCCAGGAUGAAGGUAAGGUAAUACUUACUGGAGGUCCGAACCCACGCACGUUGAAAAGUGCGGGGAUGAGGUGUGGGUAGCGGAGAAAUUCCAAUCGAACUUGGAGAUAGCUGGUUCUCUCCGAAAUAGCUUUAGGGCUAGCCUCGAGGUAAAGAGUCAUGGAGGUAGAGCACUGUUUGGACUAGGGGCCCUUCUCGGGUUACCGAAUUCAGAUAAACUCCGAAUGCCAUGUACUUAUACUCGGGAGUCAGACUGCGAGUGAUAAGAUCCGUAGUCGAAAGGGAAACAGCCCAGACCACCAGUUAAGGUCCCCAAAUAUAUGUUAAGUGGAAAAGGAUGUGGGGUUGCUUAGACAACCAGGAUGUUGGCUUAGAAGCAGCCACCAUUGAAAGAGUGCGUAAUAGCUCACUGGUCGAGUGACCCCGCGCCGAAAAUGUACCGGGGCUAAACAUAUUACCGAAACUGUGGAUGAACCUCUUUAGAGGUUCGUGGUAGGAGAGCGUUCUAAGGGCGGUGAAGUCAGACCGGAAGGACUGGUGGAGCGCUUAGAAGUGAGAAUGCCGGUAUGAGUAGCGAAAGAAGGGUGAGAAUCCCUUCCACCGAAUAUCUAAGGUUUCCUGAGGAAGGCUCGUCCGCUCAGGGUUAGUCGGGACCUAAGCCGAGGCCGAUAGGCGUAGGCGAUGGACAACAGGUAGAGAUUCCUGUACCAGUGCUAAUUGUUUAACCGAUGGGGUGACACAGAAGGAUAGGGAAUCGCACGAAUGGAAAUGUGCGUCCAAGCAGUGAGUGUGAGAAGUAGGCAAAUCCGCUUCUCGCGAAGCAUGAGCUGUGAUGGGGAAGGAAAUUAAGUACGGAAGUUCCUGAUUUCACGCUGUCAAGAA
rnacentral:rRNA from 1 species